rnacentral:misc_RNA from 1 species
UGGUUCUAAAAGAGAGCAGGUUGAGCA